GAGUAACGCGUGGGUAACCUGCCCUGUACUGGGGGAUAACAAGUCGGAAACGACUAGCGUAAUACCGCAUAAGCCCACAUGACCGCAUGGUCAAGGGGGAAAAACUCCGGUGGUACAGGAUGGACCCGCGUCUGAUUAGCUAGUUGGUGAGGUAACGGCCCACCAAGGCGACGAUCAGUAGCCGGCCUGAGAGGGUGAACGGCCACAUUGGGACUGAGACACGGCCCAAACUCCUACGGGAGGCAGCAGUGGGGAAUAUUGCACAAUGGGGGAAACCCUGAUGCAGCGAACCGCCGCGUGAGCGAUGAAGUAUUUCGGUAUGUAAAGCUCUAUCAGCAGGGAAGAAAAUGACGGUACCUGACUAAGAAGCACCGGCUAAAUACGUGCCAGCAGCUGC
rnacentral:rRNA from 1 species